AACUAGCAACCUGUGUGCUGACAAAAAUCCCAGAAUGCUGGGAUUAAAGGAAAGAAAAGUGAGGGAGGAGAAAGUAUCCUUGUGACCCAAUGAGACCUAAAUGCAGAACAGCAAACAGAGAAGACAGCAGGGAAAAUUCCACCCUCUGAGGGAUGCCCAGCCCAUCCUGCCCACUGGAGUGCCAGCAGACACAGCACAGUGCCUCACCAGAGGCUGCAAAUUCCCUGGCAAAUUGCAGUUGGGAACCUGUGUAGCCAGGAGCACUUGGAAUAAGAGCUUGGACAAGGAAACUUGA
rnacentral:lncRNA from 1 species